GGAAGAAUCAUUGUCGUGACCCUAACCAAAACAGACCGCGCACGCGUCAUCCAUGCCGCCGGGCGGCAGCCGCCGCCCGGCCUAGGCCCGACCUCCCCGGAGGGCGGGCCGCAACAGAACCCACGGCGCCGACGGCGUCAAGGAACACUGUGCCUACUAACCGGGGGCGCGAACGGCCCGGCCAGCCGGCGCCGGUCGCCUCCCGCGUUGCUACGCUAUCUAAUAAUCCACAUGACUCUCGGCAACGGAUAUCUCGGCUCUCGCAUCGAUGAAGAACGUAGCGAAAUGCGAUACCUGGUGUGAAUUGCAGAAUCCCGCGAACCAUCGAGUCUUUGAACGCAAGUUGCGCCCGAGGCCCUCGGGCCGAGGGCACGCCUGCCUGGGCGUCACGCCAAAAGACGCUCCCCACCCCCCUCGGCGGGGCGGAGGACGCGGCGUUUGGCCCCCCGUGCCGCACGGCGCGGUGGGCCGAAGUUGGGGCUGCCGGCGCAGCACGCCGGGCACAGCACAAGGUGGGCGAUCUCGCACUCUCUUACGUGCAGUGCCCCGGCGUGUAGCCGGCGCAGCGGCCCAGGGACCCAUCGACCGGAGCGCACGUCGCUCGGACCGCGACCCCAG
rnacentral:rRNA from 1 species